rnacentral:rRNA from 2 species
AACCUGGCGCUGGAUCACCUCCUUA